UACAGAGGGUGCGAGCGUUAAUCGGAAUUACUGGGCGUAAAGCGUGCGUAGACGGCUAUCUAAGUCGGGUGUGAAAGCCCCGGGCUCAACCUGGGAAUGCCAUUCGAGACUGCAUAGCUAGGGUGCGGAAGAGGGAAGCGGAAUUUCAGGUGUAGCGGUGAAAUGCGUAGAUAUCUGAAGGAACACCAGUGGCGAAAGCGGCUUCCUGGUCCAGCACCGACGUUCAGGCGCGAAAGCGUGGGGAGCAAACAGG
rnacentral:rRNA from 1 species